AUAAAAAGCAGACGCACCGGAUUCUUCUCCCACUUCCUCCUUCCCUCUGCUGCUGCAAAGAAGAGAUGGCGCACGCUUUGCUGCCAAAGGUUUGGGUUUUGAGGCUUCUUGCACAAGAAGAUGUGAUCAACACCUUCAGUGAGGAUCAACGCCUCAAGCCCAGCAGGAUUUGUUCCCCAAUAACAUCAUAAAUGCUGGAGAUUAAUUGGAAACCUAGUGGAGAUGAAAACCUGUGAUAAAUGCUUCACUAAUAGUGAAUCUAAAGUGGCUGACAUCUGGCCCUGGAAAAUCAUAAACAUGUCCCGCUUCGCCGACCUGAUGGAGAGUUCCUGUUUUGAAGGUCAAAAUCAGGAAGUGAUGUCAUCAAGGUUCCCCUCCACAUAACUGGCGUUCAUCCAGGAAGGAGGAGCCGCCCGAAGCGCAGCGUUGGAACGAAGCGCAGAUGGAGGUUGAAGUUGCCUGAACCAUAUUGAUGGAAAUGGUCAACUGAACCAUAUUGGUUUUCUUCUUGAGGACGAUGAAACUUCUGACCAGACUAUAUUUUAGGUAUGUAAAACCAACUGAUGUGCCUGGGAUUGUAGAAGUGAUGAAACUCCGAACCAUUAAACUCGUCCUACCCUGACUCAGCUAGUUUCCGCUCCUGUUGGCUCAGUUUUGGCACUGAGAACCCUGAGUUUCUCAGGUGUAAGGUGACCUGCUGAGUUCUGAUGGAGUUCUGGCUGAAAAACAAAAGCUGAUCACAUCCCAGGCUUGAAAUCUUUGAUUCUCUCAUGGGUUGCACAUCUGCAAUGGUAUAUAUCUAUUAAGUAAACGUUGACUCUAUGCCUUUCUUUUCGACAGCCUGACGUCUUGGCUUGAGGUUUGCUGGUGGACUCCAGCGGAAUCUGAAGAACUUGCUGUUUUUUGUUUUUUUUUAUUGUUUUCUGUGCAUUAAAACUGACAAAAUAUAAAAAUUGUCUUUUUUUUUUCU